GACGAACGCUGGCGGCGUGCUUAACACAUGCAAGUCGAACGGAGCGAAUGAAAGCUUGCUUUUAUGAGCUUAGUGGCAAACGGGUGAGUAACACGUAGACAACCUGCCGAUCAGAUGGGGACAACAUUCCGAAAGGAAUGCUAAUACCGAAUGGCGUGGAGGGAAGGCAUCCUCCUUUCAUGAAAGAUGGCCUCUAUUUAUAAGCUAUCACUGAUCGAUGGGUCUGCGUCUGAUUAGCUGGUAGGUAAGGUAACGGCUUACCUAGGCGACGAUCAGUAGCCGGUCUGAGAGGAUGAACGGCCACAUUGGGACUGAGACACGGCCCAGACUCCUACGGGAGGCAGCAGUGGGGAAUCUUCCGCAAUGGGCGCAAGCCUGACGGAGCAACGCCGCGUGAGUGAAGAAGGUCUUCGGAUCGUAAAGCUCUGUUGAAGGGGACGAACGAUCGAGGGGCGAACAGGCUCUCGGU
rnacentral:rRNA from 1 species